rnacentral:rRNA from 1 species
GUGUUCGUUAUUAAGGGCGCAUGGUGGAUGCCUUGGCAUGCUGAGCCGAUGAAGGACGUGAAAGGCUGCGUUAAGCCUCGGGGAGUUGUCAAUUAAGCGUUGAUCCGAGGAUGUCCGAAUGGGGAAACCUGGCCCUGGUUAUGUGGGGUUACCCUUCAGUGAAUUCAUAGCUGUUGUGGGGGUUUACGCGGGGAAGUGAAACAUCUCAGUACCCGUAGGAGGAGAAAAUAAUAAUGAUUCUGCUAGUAGUGGCGAACGAACGUGGAUGAGGCUAAACCGUGUGCAUGUGAUACCUGGUAGGGGUUGUGUGUGCGGUGUUGUGGGCCCCAAUGGGCGGUGACUACCAUCAUCGUGCUCGUGUGUUGUUGUUAGGUGAAGUGGUUUGGAAUUACCUGCCGGAGAAGGUGAGAGUCCUGUAGUUGAAGACAAUGGCAUGUGGGUUGUUGGGUUGCCCGAGUAGCAGCGGGCUCGUGGAAUCUGCUGUGAAUCUGCCGGGACCACCCGGUAAGCCUAAAUACUCAGUGUGACCGAUAGUGUAUGAGUACCGUGAGGGAAUGGUGAAAAGUACCCCGGGAGGGGAGUGAAAUAGUUCCUGAAACCAUGUGCUUACAAUCCGUCAGAGCACUUUUUGUGUGUGAUGGCGUGCCUUUUGAAGAAUGAGCCUGCGAGUCAGCGGCAUGUCGCGAGGUUAACCCGUGUGGGGUAGCCGUAGGGAAACCGAAUCCUAAUGGGGUGUAAAGUGGCAUGU